rnacentral:rRNA from 1 species
AGAGUUUGAUCCUGGCUCAGAUUGAACGCUGGCGGCAUGCCUUACACAUGCAAGUCGAACGGCAGCACGGGAGCAAUCCUGGUGGCGAGUGGCGAACGGGUGAGUAAUAUAUCGGAACGUGCCCAGUAGUGGGGGAUAGCCCGGCGAAAGCCGGAUUAAUACCGCAUACGACCUGAGGGUGAAAGCGGGGGAUCGCAAGACCUCGCGCUAUUGGAGCGGCCGAUAUCAGAUUAGCUAGUUGGUGGGGUAAAGGCCUACCAAGGCUACGAUCUGUAGUUGGUCUGAGAGGACGACCAGCCACACUGGGACUGAGACACGGCCCAGACUCCUACGGGAGGCAGCAGUGGGGAAUUUUGGACAAUGGGCGCAAGCCUGAUCCAGCAAUGCCGCGUGCAGGAAGAAGGCCUUCGGGUUGUAAACUGCUUUUGUCAGGGAAGAAAUCUUCUGGGCUAAUACCCCGGGAGGAUGACGGUACCUGAAGAAUAAGCACCGGCUAACUACGUGCCAGCAGCCGCGGUAAUACGUAGGGUGCGAGCGUUAAUCGGAAUUACUGGGCGUAAAGCGUGCGCAGGCGGCUUUGCAAGACAGAUGUGAAAUCCCCGGGCUCAACCUGGGAACUGCAUUUGUGACUGCAAGGCUAGAGUACGGCAGAGGGGGAUGGAAUUCCGCGUGUAGCAGUGAAAUGCGUAGAUAUGCGGAGGAACACCAAUGGCG